CACUCAACUGUUUAUUAAAAACAUUGCUAUUAGUUAAUUGUUUAAUAGUAAGGCCUGCUCAGUGAAGAAGUUUGUUUAAAUAGCCGCGAUUAUUUAUCGUGCUAAGGUAGCAUAAUAUAUAGUCUUUUAAUUGUAGACUUGUGAAUGGUUCAAUGAGGUG
rnacentral:ncRNA from 1 species